rnacentral:rRNA from 1 species
UACGUAGGGUGCGAGCGUUAAUCGGAAUUACUGGGCGUAAAGUGUGCGCAGGCGGCCGCGCAAGUCGAGUGUGAAAGCCCCGAGCUUAACUUGGGAAUUGCGCUCGAAGCUACGUGGCUGGAGUGUGGCAGAGGAAGGUGGAAUUCCACGUGUAGCGGUGAAAUGCGUAGAGAUGUGGAGGAACACCAAUGGCGAAGGCAGCCUUCUGGGCCAACACUGACGCUCAUGCACGAAAGCGUGGGGAGCAAACAGG